rnacentral:lncRNA from 1 species
GAAAAAUGAAGUAAAUUAGCACCUACAGAAUUGAAACUUGGCCGUCCCUGGGAUCUUCAACAUCCAUAGAUGGUGGACUAAACACAGGUGCGAACCCACGCGACGCCGGCAGGUCCAGGCACAGGUGCAAACCCACGCGACGCUGGGUACAGGUGCAAACCUACACAACGCCAGAAGGUCCAGGCACAGGGGCAAACCCACGCAACGCUGGGUACAGGUGCAAACCUACACAACGCCAGAAGGUCCAGGCACAGGGGCAAACCCACGCAACGCUGGCAGGUCCAGGCACAGGUGCAAACCUACACAACGCCAGAAGGUCCAGGCACAGGGGCAAACCCAUGCAACGCUGGCAGGUCCAGGCACAGGUGCAAACCUACACGAUGCUGGACACAGGUGCAAACCCAUGCAACGCCAGCAGGUCCGGGCACAGGUGCAAACCUACACUACGCUGGACACAGGUGCAAACCUACAUGACGCUGGACACAGGUGCAAACCUACACGAUGCUGGACACAGGUGCAAACCUAUGUGUCACCGGCAGGUCCGGGUACAGGUGCAAAGCUACACAACGCUGGACACAGGUGCGAACCCACGCAAUGCCAGGUCUGGGCACAGGUACAAACCUACAUGAUGCUGGACACGUGCAAACCCACGCGAUGCCAGCAGGUCUGGGCACAGGUGCAAACCCACGCAACACUGGCAGGUCCGGGCACAGGUGCAAACCCACGAGAUGCUGGACACAGAUGCAAACCCACACAACGCUGGCAGGUCCAAGCACUCAGUGGCCAC